UGUCAGCCCCACCCUGUAUGUCAGCUCUUGUGUUCAGUCUGUGUGGAAGCAUUGUUUGCAUGUACUGGUCACUAUGUCAAUCGGCCAAACCAAUGUUAUAUGGUUUGUUCGGUCCUGCUCUGUGUCUCACCGCAUUUCCUUUACACAGCCCUAGACUGGGUGGGAGGGCUGUGGUCUAAGGAAGAGACUCCCUUGUUCAUCGGAGGCGUUCCUCAGACUAUUUCAACGGAAGUUUGGUAACAAAGCACCCGACAAUUCAGGGUCUCCCAAGUCUUCUCCCCCCUGAACUCCCAAUGGACCUUCGUCCAUUAGGCUCUUCACCUUCCUUGGCAGGUACCCAGAACCUGAGCCGAUGAAACCCACCGUCCACGAUCCUGAGCCAAUGAAGCCUGGCGUCCACGACCCUUGGCCAGGGAGACAAGGCUUCCCGGAACCCGAGCCGAUCCCGUCCAGCGUCCCGGAACCCGAGCCGGACCCAUCCGGCGUUAUGGAAACCCGAGCAGUUCCGUCUGGCGUCCCGGAACCCAUGUCAGACCCAUCCAGCAAAUACGGUCUUGUUGAGGUCAGGUCGCCAGAGCCCCCUACCACGGUCAGUGCAAUGGUGCCCCCUGGAGAGGUCAAACCCCUGGCACCUCCUUUUAUCUUCUGACCUACACAUGCUGUCCUCCAGUAUACACAUCCUGUCCACUAACCAAAUCAUCCUGUCCUCUGGACUACAUACCCUGCACACCGACCUGUCAACCCUGUCCAUCAACCUGUGCAAACCCUGACAGUACAGGAACACAAAGCCUUCUACGCCUCCGCCGAUGUCUGCACGGUCAGCGUUCCCUCCUAGGACCCUGUAAACUCCACCCAGUCUCCGCCCAAUCAACCUUUUGUUUGAUUGUUUGUCUGCCUUGUUUGUGGGCUGCCUGCCUGUUUGCAAAACAAAAGGGAAAAUGAAGAUAAAGAAUAAAAAUACACAUUCAUUUUAAGUUUUGCUUGCAGACUAGGUUGAAACAUUUCAAUAUAUUAGGAAAAAUACCAUAACAGAGCAAUCAGAAACUUCAUUUUAUUCUUUUGUUUUUCCUAGGGUCCCUGGAACUAAUGUAGUUCUGAACUGAGAGCAAUCAGCUUUUCCCCAAGUUUUUUCUCUCUCUUUCACUCCAUCUCUACAACUGCU